GCAAUCUCUACAUUUAUAUCGUACACAACUUGGCAUCAAAUCAUAUUUUAUUUAAUAGUUAUGUACUAGAACCUCUACAGCCAACGGCCGCAGGGUAUGGCUGUGCUCCAAAUGUUUGAUAAAAUGACCCGGAACGCGUGAGCACGACAUUCUCCCCCACCCAAUUCUGCAACGCCCUCAUAGCGAUUUGUGCUUCAACUGUUGCGCCACCAAAUGGGCACCAUCCUAUGAGCGGAGAUGAUGUCCACUGCCAAAACAAUGUUAUAUAUAGCCCGUGUAAUGGCGGGCAACGAUGAGGUCUGUAAUACCUUUCUAAUGGACAAUCUGCAACUGCAUACGAUUAAGUGCAUGAACUAUGCCAUCUGCCAUCAGUAAGCCCUCAACGUGACAAUGCUAUCUAGUGCCUGCUUGAUAAUCCUACCCAAUAACUUGAGUAGUUUAAUACUUCAAGUAGUUGCUCGACAUUAUAUCAAUAGUUUGUAGUUCAGUGAUAAUUUCUCUUUCUUCCUGUGUGUGCGCAUAGAAAUUUCAAUAAGGGAUGUUAAAAUUAUUUUUAAAAAAACAUAAUUUUUAAUACAUUAUAAGAUAAAAUAUAUAGUAUUGUACUAUAUAUUUUUUUGUCUUUUAACUUAUCA
rnacentral:lncRNA from 1 species